rnacentral:rRNA from 1 species
AGAGCGAACGCUGGCGGCAGGCCUAACACAUGCAAGUCGAGCGCCCCGCAAGGGGAGCGGCAGACGGGAGAGUAACACGUGGGAACGUGUCCUUUGGUUCGGAACAACCCAGGGAAACUUGGGCUAAUACCGGAUAAGUCCGCGAGGAGAAAGAUUUAUCGCCAAAGGAGCGGCCCGCGUCUGAUUAGCUUGUUGGUGAGGUAACGGCUCACCAAGGCUACGAUCAGUAGCUGGUCUGAGAGGAUGAUCAGCCUCACUGGGACUGAGACACGGCCCAGACUCCUACGGGAGGCAGCAGUGGGGAAUAUUGGACAAUGGGCGCAAGCCUGAUCCAGCCAUGCCGCGUGGGUGAUGAAGGCCCUAGGGUUGUAAAGCCCUUUCGGCGGGGAAGAUAAUGACGGUACCGCAGAAGAAGCCCCGGCUAACUCGUGCCAGCAGCCGC